rnacentral:rRNA from 1 species
GUAGGGGGCGAGCGUUGUCCGGAUUUAUUGGGNGUAAAGGGCGUGUAGGCGGCUUUUUAAGUNGGGGGUGAAAAUCCAGGGCUCAACCCUGGGACUGCCUCCGAAACUGGGAAGCUUGAGUGCUCUAGAGGGUAGUGGAAUUCCCGGUGUAGCAGUGAAAUGCGUAGAGAUCGGGAGGAACACCAGUGGCGAAGGCGACUGCCUGGGGGGUAACUGACGCUGAGGCGCGAAAGCUGGGGGAGCAAACGGGAUUAGAUACCCCGGUAGUCCCAGCCGUAAACGAUGAGUGCUAGGUGUGAGGGGUAUCGACCCCCCUCGUGCCGCAGUUAACGCAAUAAGCACUCCGCCUGGGGAGUACGGCCGCAAGGUUG